rnacentral:lncRNA from 1 species
UUCUAAUAUUUCUUAGUGGGGUUGAGAUUCCUAUUCCUCACAAACACCUUGUGGAUAGCACUACAAGUAUUUAUGAGUUUAAGAGUAGGUAACUCUUUACCAAUUCUCAACAUCAUUCACUCUGACCUCUAGAUCAUAUAUAGUCUUGUGGAUAGCACGACAAACUAUAGUGUUCUAGUUAAGUUGACCCUUCAAUCCAUAUGGUCAUACUUAAACAAUGCUAUCCUUGUGGAUAGCACAACAAAGCAACACUAUUCAAAUAUGCCAUAAACAUUAAUAUGCACUUGAUCAACAUCAUGUCAAUUUCUAUAGUAAGCCUUGUGGAUAGCACAACAAGCUUACUAAGAUCUUGACAUACUCUAUCGAUCAAGUUUGAAGGAAGGCCCUUGUAGUGUUUAUAUCACUAAUCAAUCUAAGUUCGAAAUUCAAGAAGAUUAAAUUGACCAGAUAAGUAGGUGGGAGGCUCUCUGUAGCUUUUCUAGAUACCAACAG